rnacentral:siRNA from 1 species
AGAGAGUAUCAUCAAUGUGCUUG